rnacentral:rRNA from 1 species
AGAGUGAACGCUGGCGGUAGGCCUAACACAUGCAAGUCGAACGGCAGCACAGGAGAGCUUGCUCUCUGGGUGGCGAGUGGCGGACGGGUGAGGAAUACAUCGGAAUCUACCUUUUCGUGGGGGAUAACGUAGGGAAACUUACGCUAAUACCGCAUAAGACCUUCGGGUGAAAGCCGGGGACCUUCGGGCCUGGCGCGGAUAGAUGAGCCGAUGUCGGAUUAGCUUGUUGGCGGGUAAAGCCCACCAAGGCGACGAUCUGUAGCUGGUCUGAGAGGACGACCAGCCACACUGGAACUGAGACACGGUCCAGACUCCUACGGGAGCAGCAGUGGGGAAUUUGGACAUGGGCGACAAGCCUGACGUCCGAGCAAUGCCGACGUGCAGGA